rnacentral:rRNA from 1 species
GAUGAACGCUGGCGGCGUGCUUAACACAUGCAAGUCGAACGAAGCACUUCAAUCGAUUUCUUCGGAAUGAAGUUUUAGUGACUGAGUGGCGGACGGGUGAGUAACGCGUGGGUAACCUGCCUUAUACAGGGGGAUAACAGUUGGAAACGACUGCUAAUACCGCAUAAGCGCACGGUAUCGCAUGAUACAGUGUGAAAAACUCCGGUGGUAUAAGAUGGACCCGCGUCUGAUUAGCUUGUUGGUGAGGUAAACGGGCCCACCAAGGCGACGAUCAGUAGCCGGCCUGAGAGGGUGAACGGCCACAUUGGGACUGAGACACGGCCCAAACUCCUACGGGAGGCAGCAGUGGGGAAUAUUGCACAAUGGGGGAAACCUUGAUGCAGCGACGCCGCGUGGAGGAAGAAGGUCUUCGGAUUGUAAACUCCUGUUGUUGGGGAAGAUAAUGACGGUACCCAACAAGGAAGUGACGGCUAACUACGUG